AAUGAAAUACUAAUUUACCCUUUCUCUCUUAGUCCUAUCAUCUUCUUCCCUAUACCGGCUUUUCUUCUCUACCUAUUAUAGCUGAGAUGUUGAUAAUGACAGUAAUCACACACAUGGUGUCAGAGCUUUUAGAAUCGACUCCACAACAUCUUAAUUGUCUUCAUCAUUCUGUAAUUUAUUUUGCUAAAAUAAUUUUUAAGUUCUUCUUGAUUAAAAGUUAAUAAAUUAUAAUAGUUCUCAUACUGAUUCAAUUUUUGGUAUAUUUUGACUGUUUUAUCCCUUUCUAUAGUAGCAUAGUGUUAUCUAAAGUGACACAAUUCUCGAGGUUAGUGAUUGGGUAUUAAGUAAGUUUUUUAUUUUGGAUAGUUUUGGAGGUGGUAUGGUUGACUUUAAUUUGAUCAAUAUUCAAAGAUUG
rnacentral:lncRNA from 1 species